rnacentral:rRNA from 1 species
AUUGAACGCUGGCGGCAUGCCUUACACAUGCAAGUCGAACGGCAGCAUGGAGAGCUUGCUCUCUGAUGGCGAGUGGCGAACGGGUGAGUAAAGCAUCGGAACGUACCGUGUAGUGGGGGAUAACGUAGCGAAAGUUACGCUAAUACCGCAUACGCACUGAGGUGGAAAGCAGGGGAUCGUAAGACCUUGCGCUAUACGAGCGGCCGAUGUCAGAUUAGCUAGUUGGUAGGGUAAAGGCCUACCAAGGCGACGAUCUGUAGCGGGUCUGAGAGGAUGAUCCGCCACACUGGGACUGAGACACGGCCCGGACUCCGACGGGAGGCAGCAGUGGGGAAUUUUGGACAAUGGGGGCAACCCUGAUCCAGCAAUGCCGCGUGAGUGAAGAAGGCCUUCGGGUUGUAAAGCUCUUUUGUCAGGGAAGAAACAGCAGCUCUAACACAGUAUGCGAAUGACGGUACCUGAAGGAUAAGCACCGGCUAACUACGUGCCAGCCGCCGCCGUAA